rnacentral:rRNA from 1 species
UACGAAGGGGGCUAGCGUUGUUCGGAAUUACUGGGCGUAAAGCGCACGUAGGCGGAUAUUUAAGUCAGGGGUGAAAUCCCAGAGCUCAACUCUGGAACUGCCUUUGAUACUGGGUAUCUCGAGUAUGGAAGAGGUGAGUGGAAUUCCGAGUGUAGAGGUGAAAUUCGUAGAUAUCAGGAAGAACACCCGUGGCGAAGGCGGCUCUCUGGGACGGUACUGACGCUGAGACGCGAAAGCGUGGGGAGCGAACAGG